CGCAAACCACGUUCUCUUAAGAUCACGUGCUCGCAUGAUUUGAAUAUGGGGCGCGGUUUCAACUUCGGCCAAUGAGCUGUGAGCUGAAGUUCCUGUCGACAAUAUUGGCGGGCUAAUUCGCGCCGCGGUGAAGUAGAAGCCGCUGUUGUCAUGAACUCGUUGUUAGUUUAAAGUGAUUACAGAAUGUCUCAGAUUGAGCAUUUGGCUACAUUACAGAAUCCAAAUGGAGGCCUGUCUGAAUCUAAAGCCUGUAUCAUAUCCUGGAAUUCAGAGAUCUAUAUCUGUAAUUGCACCAGAUUUGUGUAUAUUUUUAGCCUGGAGAAGAAGCAAAUAAAGGCAGUCUAUUUAUUUCCUUCCAAUGUUUGGCACAUUGAACUUUCUACAGGUCCACACCAGCUGUAUGUUCUUUGUGCCCAGAAAGGAUUAUACCUUCUGGAGUGGGAUGAAGAUGGAAGAUUAUUAAAGGAACCAAGCUCUGUGAGCAGUAAUGGAGACAUGACUAUAUAUCACAUAGGGUGUAAUUUCGCCCUUCUUCUAGAGCCAUCUCUCUGCUCGUUUACUGUGGCCAAUGAGUUUCUUGUCGUUGUAUCGGCACAGCAGGAGAAAUGGAAGAUUGCAGUGAUUCCAAGAGAAAACAUAAACCAUGACGACCCGUUCACAGCCCUAUCCAGAGAAGUGAAGUUUUCUCACAGAUAUGAAAGGAACAGCAGUGAUCUGCAGCCUGUCCUGUGCUGUGUUUUUCUAUGGAAAGAAAAAGCAAUAAGACCUGAUGUUCCAUGUAGUUUAGCACUGACGGCAGUAUUAUUCACUAGGCUUUUCGGAGUUGAUGUUGCAAUGUUGGAAUCGCCCAUGAUUCUCUGUGGGUUCCCAGAUGGUCAGGUUUUUAGUUUUCCAUUGAAGAGCGCUGCGCUGCCUCAGUCUACAUAUCAGAACCCAACCCAAGGCUCAUUAAAGCUUCUUUAUCACUUGGAGCAACCUGUGGUUUCCAUUGGUACCAUAAGGAUUGGACAAUGUGACCCUAACACUAAGCAUCCACCUGAAGGACAUAGAGCCUGUGACUGUUUGCUGGUUGUUGGCCAAAAAGGCCUUAUGGUGUCAGUAACAGGUGAUGAUAAUCCAGAUGCUGUCUCCUGUACAUAUACAGAUUACAGAUUACCUGCUCCAGUGUGUGGGACCUCCUAUUCAACAUCUGGUGUCUUCUGCUGUACAUCCAGCGAUAUCAUCUAUGUAACUAUAUCACCUCUGGAGAAAGAAACAGCCACUAAUACUGCAAGCUCCACACUGUCUUCCAUCCGUCACAGUAUAUCCAUGAUAGUGGCGGUAUCCCAGGUCUCCUCACCUGAUGACUCUCGGCUAGUUUCUUUGUCUAAGAGGGGACGUCUUAUGCUUUGCAACUUAAAUCGGAAAGGAACUGAAGAUCAUGGACAGAGGAUCAAAGAACUGUUGUCUGGAAUUGGCUCAGUGUCUGAAAGGUUCUCUGCAUUGAAGACCGUGACAUAUGAGAAGAGCAAGUCCUUAGCAAGGCUCAACCAAGUGAUGUCAUUGAGCCGAGAGUUGCUGUCCGGACAGUGGGAAACUUGCCCAGUCAGGUGUGCUGUCAGGGUUUCCUGGGCCCAGAUGCUUCAGAAGGCCUAUAUAACUGCAUAUUGCAGUCUGGAAAACAAGAGUGACUUCAUCUUUGAACACAAUUGGACCUUGUGUCUCCUCAUCAGUACUGACCCAAUCACUUCUUAUUCCUUUCCAGUUUUGCUGCUAAAACCUGGGGAGACAAAAGAAUUUGCUUUCCCUUUAUAUGGACAGGGAUCUAACAGAGUGGAUUUCCCUAUUACAGUAUCUUGCUCCUUAUUUUACAGUUUAAAGGAAUUUGCUGCCGAUUGCGGUAACUCUUCAGAGAUGUUCAUGUCUGCCCCACACAAACAUGGCGUGUGCGUUCCUCUGCAGGAGAACGUAGUCGACAUAUUGCAAUGCCUGCGUCUAAGCCCCAUGGUUGCUUAUUGCUCUGGUUCAUCAUGUAUAUUUCAAGAGGAUGCAGUGCAAACUAUUUGCAAAUCAUCGUCUGGAGAUGAUCAACAGGGCACGUCACCUGUUAUUUCUAACCAGGGGGUCAAUUCUACAAUGCCUUUCAAAGCUUCAGUUCGAUUGUCAGCUGCCUUGUUGGCUCGUGCCUUAAGAAAUGGAGAAUCAAGGAGGUCUAUCUGCUCUGUUGUACUACACUGGCUGCUGUCUGAAGUGUUAGCAAAGGAUCAAGAUGUGCAGGAGGUGCAGGGUUUAACUCCAGAUGGAAAGGAGUUUUGUAUCCGGGUUCAAGAGGUUUCUGUGUCAGAUCUUUCAACAGAGGAAUCCAUCCAAGUUGUGGAGGUGCAGAUUCUAAGCUCUCAUCUACAUGUUGUGGCCUCUUUACAUCUGGCUGUCAUCGGACGUUUUAAGAUCUUACUUCAACAAGAUAACCCAAACAAUGAGGCCCAUUCUCCUGAUCUGAAUUUGGGGAAAAUUCAGCAGCUGUUCAGUGCUCAUGAGCUCUUACUAAAAGAAGUAAAGAACCUGAGAGAGCGCCUGGGUGUGGAUGAAGACAUCAUCUCCAGUGCUGCUGCCCAGAGACUCCUACGCAUCUACACAGACUUACGGGAUCCAGGCCUGGUCUUCAUCUGAGUCUGAAUGUGAUCUUCGUUCCCAAUGCUGAGGAUAACAGCUGCCUCCAGAGAUAUGUCAGGAUCAGAUGUGUUAUUAUGAACUCCAGUCUAGAAACGGUAUCUACUGCUCCUAUGGAAAAGUCCUGAUCAGUCCAUCCUAGAGACGGAGUCUUCUGUUAGGCGAAAGGCCCCCUUAAAAGGGCCACUCAGGAAAGAGACACAGAUCGGACCAUACGAAGAUCGACCGUAGAUGAAACCAUCACAAACAGAUUCUUAAAGAGAUGAUCCAGCUUUAGAGUGGCAGGGGCAGCGUCUCCUCCCUAAAGACUGAAAAGAGAACACCGCUUGCAGACAUUAUUGAUCACCUUACUGCCAUAGAGCAAGAUUGGCGGCCUAUUGUGGUCAUGUGAUCGGAUGCAAUGCAUCAACAUAAGGGGCCAGUAAACCAAGACCAGCCUGUAGACCAUAGAAGCCUCAUCAUGGGAGCCACAGAAGAUUGCUCUGAAUCAUGGGUCAUUUUUGACAGAUACUACCACUUUUCAGCUUCCUUGUUUUAUUUUACGAUGACCGAUCCAGAUUCCAUGAAUUGUGUAGAUUUCUGUAUUUCUGAGUCAAGUGAAAUAGCUGACGCCUACAUAACAGCUUCAAAGUCAGAAAAGUCCAACGGACGGCGCUCAGCAGGAACACUUCCGAAAAUUUUUAUUUACCACAUAAGCUGCUGCUUCCUGCUUUGUGACAAGUGCACAGUGCUCUGCCCUCUCUGCGGGCCGGGUCCCAUCGCUCUCUGAUUUCCUGUGCGUCUCUGUGGCCAAUGCCUCUGAAGCUUACCGAAAAUCCGAUGGUAUAAAGAUUUAAAGGGGUAUUCCAGGGAAA